UGGGGAAUAUUGGGCAAUGGGCGAAAGCCUGACCCAGCAACGCCGCGUGAAGGAAGAAGGUUUUCGGAUUGUAAACUUCUUUUAUCAGGGACGAAGAAAGUGACGGUACCUGAUGAAUAAGCCACGGCUAACUACGUGCCAGCAGCCGCGGUAAUACGUAGGUGGCAAGCGUUAUCCGGAUUUACUGGGUGUAAAGGGCGUGUAGCCGGGUCGGUAAGUCAGAUGUGAAAUCUACGGGCUCAACUCGUAAACUGCAUUUGAAACUGCUGAUCUUGAGUAUCGGAGAGGCAAUCGGAAUUCCUAGUGUAGCGGUGAAAUGCGUAGAUAUUAGGAGGAACACCAGUGGCGAAGGCGGAUUGCUGGACGACAACUGACGGUGAGGCGCGAAAGCGUGGGGAGCAAACAGGAUUAGAUACCCUGGUAGU
rnacentral:rRNA from 1 species